CGGCCUACGGGACGCAGCAGUGAGGAAUAUUGGUCAAUGGGCGCGAGCCUGAACCAGCCAAGUCGCGUGAGGGAAGACGGUCCUAUGGAUUGUAAACCUCUUUUGUCGGGAAGCAAAAGACGCCACGCGUGGCGUUCCGAGAGUACCCGAAGAAAAAGCAUCGGCUAACUCCGUGCCAGCAGCCGCGGUAAUACGGAGGAUGCGAGCGUUAUCCGGAUUUAUUGGGUUUAAAGGGUGCGCAGGCGGAAGAUCAAUAAAGCGGUAAAAUUGGGAGGCUCAACCUCUUCGAGCCGGUGAAACUGGUU
rnacentral:rRNA from 1 species